UAUGUCAGUUUAGCAUAGACUGAGGUUGGGUGAGGGACAGAGCCCAACGGGUAGCAGGAAGCAGGAAGGAGGGCUAUGUCUAGGUUUUGAAGGGGUAGAGAAAGCAGAGUCAGAGGGGGACCGGAGGAGGUAGCAACCAGCGGAGACCCGAGACCGUGACGAUGUGGUGGCGUAGCUGCUGCGGCGAGGAGGAGGUGCUCCGAAGGACGCGCACACCGGUACCUGCCUCGAGCGGGUCGGCGGGGGUCUCCGACGGAAACUCCAGCGGCACGAGGAGCUGGAGUUGUAGCAGCGUGAGCUCUCGGUUGGGAGGGGAGAGGGAAAGGGAACCGACUACGACAGGGGCCGCCGUGACGAGAGGGCACUCCUCACUCGGAGUAGUGGUGCCAGUUCGGACCAUAAACCUUAUAGCCUUCUUUAACCUACUUUUUUUAGACGAUGAGUUUAAGCGGUCUUCUCAGGAUCAGCCCCUACCGCUCUCCUCCUUCUGUUGCCCCUCGUAUCUGGAGGCCUAGAGGUCAGGCGAAGAGGAGCCCUCCGACAGCGUCACGAGGAGCUGGAGGAGUGGAUCGAGGACGGAAGGCAGUGCGUCGAACUCCUUCAUGCGUCUCAAGAUCCAGCGAGAGGCUUUUUUUACUCAAGAUCCAGCGACGGCGAGGUGCUGGAGCCCCGUACCGAGCACCAGCCGGUGAUCUACGAGAAGCUGAACUAAAAACCCACGCUUCUGUGCAGUUCCGGUCCCUCCUCGUACUGAGAACAUAGGAGAAAAAAACACACCUGACCUUCCCCAACGCCGAACUAUCUAAAACAUAUAACGUAAGUUCUAAACACAAUAGUCACUAACAUUAAAAAACAACUAUCGAAUGGUUCAACUGGUGAACCAAGUUCUAAACACAAUACGAGCAAGAAUCGUGAAAAGGCCACUUCCCGUCCAUGAUCUCUUGAAUCAAACAAGAAUCGGUUUCACGAAAAACUCACUUCGUCUGUUGUAACGAAUUUCAUGAUUGACUGACUAAUUAUAAAAUCCUAAACGUCAUGAAUCAUGGAGUACUGAGGCGUGAAACAAUAAUAAAGUGAAAACCAUAAUAAAGUAGUCAAUCAAUUGAUGCCU
rnacentral:rRNA from 1 species